AACAGUUUUUUUGUUGUUGUUGUUAUAAAGUGGUAUUUACCAAAUGAGAGAAUAACUAUUAUUUUGGUCAUCUUGAAAAUUUGGUAAAAUAGUGUUGAGAGAAUUAGCUAAUAAUUUGGGAGUAACCACAUCUAAGACAGGUACUAUUUGGGUUCAGCAGUGUUUUAGUUUAUGUAGGCCCGAGGUAUGGAUUGCUUUAUUGAAAUAGGAUUUAAAGUUGCUUUCGCUGAACAUAAGUUGAUUUUCAAUUCAAAAGUCACUUUAGGAUUUUAAGUACCUUUGAAACAUUGUAAGAGUUGUUGAAUUAUGGCUGUCAAAAUGCCGAAUAAUGGGUUUUAUCUUCUGUAGAAUUCUUUUCGACAUUUGUGUUCUAAUUCCCUUCCAAGUCAACGAAGUUUUGAUAUUUGAAGCUGCUGGAUAAAACAGGAAGGCUGUGAGAGCUGGGACUCCCAGCGUUUAGACUAGGAGAAUUUCAGAACAUUCACAGGAACCAGUAGAGGCCAGUAGAGAUGAAGCAACCUUUAUGUUUUGUUUUUUUGGAAAGCAGAGGGUAGUUUAGAGCACUGUGUUUGGGGUAGGAAGGAAGAUAGACUACAAACUGGCCAAAAGGCCGUUUUGACACCCAAAGCACUAAUGACAUCACGUUGGCUUUACUUUUCUCACUUCUCAUAAGCUAACUUUUCGGAACCGUUCUGGAAAAAUUGAGUGAUGGUGGCCUCUUUUACAUGUCUUACACUCAUGCACCCCAGAAUCUAGAGGGAUGAAAACUAACAUUCAGUUUUUCUUCUGUGUAACAGGUUUUUAUGGAUGUUUUAACACUUCCAUGAAGUUAACCUCAUUUUCUUUAACCCUCCAUAUCAGUGCCUUCCAUCUGAUAUAGAGGAUUUAAGUGCUGUUUCCACUCCUUGAUUUACCAGCUGUUGUUCUUCAAGCAAGAAUGUCACCUCUCAGCCCAUUCUCCAGUAAGAGACUACAAUGAAGCCAUUUAAAGAAGGUUUUGUAUAGCUAUAUACAUAAAAACUGAAGUAUCUCCAUGGGAAAGAUCUCGAAGACAUUACAUAUAUAGUAUGAUCCCACCUAGAGCUUUCAAAGUACAUGUUGUGUACCUGUGUGUUCAAACUCAGCCUAUUUUUGAGCACCUGCUCCAGAGGAUGGUUCUUAACCAGCAGGGCAUUCCACAGCGCUGCUAUUGACCUCAUCUAUGAUGUCAUGAGGGUGGUGGCCAUCCACACUGCAGCCCACAGACCGGGCAGUCCCCAGGAUCUCUUUAAUGGUUCCAGACAGUUCUCUGGCUAAAGAUUGGUGCCACAUCUGUCGGGCAUUGCUGACAAUCUCAUCAAAAGUGAUAUUUCCACUGUGCUUCAUGUUUUCCUGCUUCUUUCUGUCUCUUGGCAGUUCCUUGAAGGCUUUGAUAAUCAGGGCGGAGGCAGAAGGUACCCCUUCAAUCUGGGCCUGUCUGUUCUAACUACUCAAUCUCACCGUCAUCCUCAGACCCUUCCAAUCACCAGUUGCCUUGAUAAUGUCAUCACCAACCUUUUUUUUUGGAGACAGAGCCAGGGGGCUGAUCUUAGGAGCCAGGGCAGAUGUGACACCAACUUCCCCACCAGUGCACCUCAGGUACACAAGUUUGAUCUCACUGGGGUCAAACUUAGGGGUCAUGAUGGAGGUGGCUGGUGUUGGAUGAACCCGAAUUCAGGAUGACUGAAGAGUGGCACCAUGGCCUCCUCAGAGCCAAAAACCAAAAGGUCCAUAUGUGUUUGUAGUGGAUGAAAUUAAGUUUCUUGGGGCACCUGGCAGGCUCAGUCGAUGAAGCAUCUGCCUUCAGCUCAGGUCAUGGAC